UGUAGUAGCAGUGCCAAGUACUUGACUGAAAAAUAAACUUGUGGAUUGAGCAGCAUCUUUCACCAGGAGAAUCACAAGAUCACGCUUGUAAACUACUGAAUUAGGAGAUAAAGACUGAAAUUUAUGUUGAUAUUUGUACAUGAAACAGCUCCUAAUCCUGUGAUAAUCACUACUAGCUAGUACAGACCAUUGCUAGUUUGUACGGGACCAGCGUCAUGAGAGGAAUGGCAUACUACAGCGCCUUAUAGAGAGUACUAGAUUGUGGUACUGCACAAUUUUCGUUCUAGUUGAAAAUUGUAAAUCAUCAAAGGAGUGGCUGCCUUUGUAUCACAUCAGUAUUAAGGCAGCUCAUAGCACCAUCUGAACUUUUCUAUAUGUUUGGUCAUACUCAUUUACUUACUGUAAUGGUAAACAUCAAAGGAGUGGCUACCAUUGUGUCGCACGCACCAGUGUUAAAUGCUCGGACUGUGAGAAAUUUUAUUUCUUAUUAUACUUUCAUAUGUGAACUUAUACUUGUCAGCAUCCAUAUUAUUUGUAAGUGCCAGCCUCACUAGUCGCACACUAUGUAAUGCAACUUUGGCAAACUUAUAUGAAACUUUGAAGUAUAGUUGGCUUGGUAAAAGGGAAAUGCUAAAAUACAACUUCCAGACAUUGUUGAUGUAUGCCCCUGAACCUAAAAAUUGUAUAUUGAUGACAAUGAUUUGAGGUCUGAUUUUCCUAGUUUUUAGUUCAUCUAGAUCGAGCAAAGCUGAACAUUCAGGAACUAUAAGAGAUCUAAGCUUUGCUAUGGCUCUUUAUCAAGAUAUGGUUUUUACCUGUGUUCAGCAAUAGCUACUAUGUUGGUUCAAUCUGAAUUUUAUUUUCCAUUAUAUUUCCUUCUUCCGAUCUUUAAUUCUCUUGUUAUCCAGUAAAAUAACAGUUUGUUCUCUAACUUGUCUAUCCAAUACAAAAACAUGAGUUACAUUCAAUGUACAGGGAACAUCAUUAGUGCAACAAAGAGGUUGCAGCAAAAAGUCGAGGUUAUCACUUGGAAAGAAGAAAUUGUAUAAUAUUCUUCCAAAUGAAGAAGAGUUCAUCUAGAUUUGGAGCAAAAUACAAGAUUCGUGAUCUAAAAGAGAUGUAAGAGCCCUUACUCUAGUAGAGGUAUGGUCUCUUACUUUUGUUUUCGUCAUCUUCUCCGAAGUAUUAUCAUGAAUACUUU
rnacentral:rRNA from 1 species